AGAAGUCCCACCUAUGGAUAAAGUCCCUAAUCCAAAGAUGGCCCCUCUGGGGGAUGAGGCCCCCACUCUAGAAAAGGUCUUGACCCCAGAGCUUUCUGAAGAAGAGGUGUCCACCAGAGAUGACAUUGAAUUCCAUCACUUCUCUUCGGAGGAAGCCCUGCAGAAGGUCAAGUACUUUGUAGCCAAAAAGGAUCCAUCAUCCCAGGAGGAGGCCCACACGCCAGAGGCACCCCCACCCCAGCCUCCUUCCUCAGAGAGGUGCCUGGGAGAGAUGAAAUGUCCCCUAGUUAGAGGGGACAGCUCCCCACGCCAGGCUGAGUUGAAGUCUGGGCCAGCGUCCAGGCCUGCCCUUGAGAAGCCCCACCCCCACGAAGAGGCUACAACCCUUCUAGAGGAGGCACCUUCCAAAGACGAGAGGACCCCUGAAGAGGAGGCGCCCCCCAACGAGGAGAGGCCUCUGAGAGAGGAGGUGCUCCCCAAAGAGGGAGUGGCUUCCAAAGAGGAGGUGCUCCCCAAAGAGGGAGUGGCUUCCAAAGAGGAGGUGACCCUGAAAGAGGAAUUACCCCCAAAAGAGGUGCCCCCUAAAGAGGAAGUGGCUCCAAAAGAGGAGGUGCCCCCUAUAGAAAGAGCCUUUGCCCAAAAAACACGUCCUAUCAAGCCGUCUCCAGACUUCCAAGAGACGCUCACGCUCCCCUCCCUGGUCCCGCAAAACUACACGGAAAACAAGAAUGAAGGAGUUGAUGUAACGUCGCUGAGGGGCGAGGUGGAGUCUCUAAGGAGGGCGCUGGAGCUGAUGGAGGUGCAGCUGGAGAGGAAGCUGACCGACAUCUGGGAGGAGCUGAAGAGCGAGAAGGAGCAGCGCCGGCGGCUGGAGGUGAGGCGCGGGUCCCGGCGGGAGGGGGCUGACAGCGGGUGGCCCCCUGACAAAGUCUCCACCUCACUCCCGACCAGGUCCAGGUGAUGCAGGGGACCCAGAAGUCCCAGACCCCGCGCAUCAUCCACACGCAGACGCAGACCUACUGAGGGUGGGCCUGGGAAGGGACCGCGGCCUGACCUGGCUGGGGCCACCCACGUCCUUGCACACGACUUUGGGAAACGCGAGAAAGUAAACUCUGCCUAGCACGGCGCCACGCCGGUCUGGUCGCUGGGGGUGGGGCCUGCGCGGGGGCAGGGCCUGGGCCUCCGCAUUCCUGACGGUCCCUCCCAGGCACAUCUGGCCAACAUGUGGCUCCCAUUACCGUUCCCAAGGCCUGCGCGCGGCUAUUUUUAUCCACCGGAUGGUGAGGGGCGGGGGAGGGUGUCUCCUUCGGACUCCAGCCGCGCACUGGAGAAAUGGCGGGCAGGAGGGGCCCAGGCGGGGUCGGGCUCUGACGCCCGGCCUAGAUUCCGGAAUCCAGCUGUGCGCCGGGGAGGAGCCGGGCGGGCCUUCUCGCCAGCUCGGACCCCUCCCAGCUGGCCUCCCUGUCCGCUCAGAGGGACUCCUGCCCUCUCGCUUGAACGCACCUCGGCGCAGACGUGAAGUCCACUGUCCAGCCCAAGCACGCAUGCUUACACAGGGGCUAGCAGCACCUUAGCCUCGAGGUCAGGGUCCUGAGGCGUGGUGUGUUUGUCAUUGCAAUGUAUGAACCCAGGGCACUGUGGGGACAGGGCGACGUGUGUCCAGGCGUUUGCCGCAGGUCCGGCUGUCCGGUGCGCCAGAUCUCCCGCAGGAUCCGUUCGCGCUCCUCCAGCCGCUGCGCCCGCUCUAGCUCCUCCGCCGACGUGAAGACGUUGACGCUGAGGGGCCCGUCCGGCUCUGCGGACAGCUCGGGGCCCGGCAGCGUGUCGUCGGGGCCCAGCCGAGUCACCGUGUCCUCCUCGUCCUCGUCGUCGUCCUCGGGCUCCAGGGUGCUGCUGCGGGGGUCCCGGCGCUGAGCCGGGCCCCGGGGCCGCGGGCGGGGCGCCCACGAGAUGCUGAUGACGAGCAGGCAGAGGGAAACCGCCGGGGAGGCCGCGGCAGGGACCCGCCCCCAGGCCACUAACAACAACAACAGCGAGGCUGGAGCUCUGCCUGCGUGCGGGCCAAGGGCUAAACCUUGGACAGGUUCUUUCACUUACUCCGCCUGACAACCCUGCGACGUGAUACCAUUAUCCCCACUUCGCAGAUCAAAUAAACGGAGUCUUGGAGAGA
rnacentral:sRNA from 1 species